rnacentral:lncRNA from 1 species
AAUGACGAGUUAGUUGGUCAAGUUAAACCCGAAUGCAAAGUUCUCAACGAAUUUGAGUAUGAAGUUAAAAUUGAAACUCACAAAGGACACAAAGAGGACAAAGAUCGUUUUAAAAUCCCAGUGCCAGAGGUUACAUUACCAGGUGUCAUUUUGAAAACCAAACAAGGAUCAGCUAACCUAGAAACAAGGGCAGAGGUUGGCCUCUCAUCAUCUAGUGCAGAAAUCAAAGUCCCCAAGAUUCCAGACAUAGAGUUUGAUAUUGGUACAUCACAAGAUGAAGAUGACAAUAUAACAGAAAAAGGAAAGAAAAUCAAAAUACCUAAAUUUGGUGUCCCAUUACCCUCCAUUUCCUCUCCUGAGGGAAGAAUCUAUGGACCAGAAAUUCAGUAUGAGGGCCCUAAAAUGCCCAAAGUAAAGAAAGCUGUUUUUGUUUUGGUAAAUCCUCCACAAAUAGAUGAACCUUGCCCAUGCGCUGGGCUCCUUGAGGAGGAGAAAAGAACUGAGGCUGAUACAGAGGAUGUCAAAGUGAAGUUACCCAAAAUCAAAAUGAAGCCAAAUUUUGGGAAGGCCAAAAAUAAAUCACCUGCUGCAAGCACGGAGGGGGAGGGAGAGGAGAAGUCAAAGGGAGGGAAGAUAAAAAUGUCCAAAGUGUCAUUUUCUCCUGGGAAAUCUGGAUCAUUUGAUGUCAGCCUUAAGGGAGAGGGUUCAAGUUCAAGUCUCAAUGGUGAAAACGCUGCAAGUUCUCACAAGGACUCCAAGGAAAAUAAAGGGACAUUCAGUGGUAAAAUCAAACUCCCAAAGGUAGAGUUCACCAGUCCAUAUGGCAAGAUGUCUGCUGAUGAGGAGGACACAGAAUUGAGAGUGAAACUAGAAAACGAGUCUUCGAAGGAUGUGGUGUCAUCUCAUGCCAGAACCGACAUGCUGGACAGGGACAGCUCAGAGUCCCCUGGUGGUUCUACCAUGGGGUUUAGCUCAACAAAGGUCCAUGUUUGGAGUGAGGUGGACAGCAAAAGCACACAGUCAGAAGAAAGAGAGUCCUCCCCCUGGUUCAAGGUGCCUAAAUUCAGCCUGAAGCCACACUCUACAGGCUUCCUCCAGAUAACACCAGAGGGUUCUCCUCAGGCCCAGCGGAAGGGGGAGGUCGGAGGUGAGACCGACAUCUUGGGAUCCUUCUGCCUCCACACCUCUGGGCUUGACUUCGACACUCUGGAAAAGUCAGAAGAGCACCAAGUGUCCUCCACUGAGGUGGGAACUGUCACCGCGGUGACCAAGACCACCAGAAUCACCCAGCGCAUGGUUACCACAGAAACACGAACAGUUUUAUAUUUUAAGCAUUUAGCUGGAGCUGUUACCCAGAGAUAGUCACAGUGAGUGAGCAGGACACUCUGGACUCUAUCUGCUGUGGGGAUCAAACCUGUGACCAUCCGGUUAAAGGUUGCUCUCGAACAUUUAAGCCAACCUGCUGCUAAACUAUUUUAUAUUCAUGUUUUUACUGUACACUGCCAGAAAAAAAAGACACCUCUGUAUAUUUUGUGAUCAAGACUUUGGCUUCGAGAUACACCUCUUGAGUGAUGCUUCUGUUUUAAUGAUGUGUUUCAAAACACUGACAGCAAGAUGGGAGGAGAUUUGGGGAUUCAUUGGUGCUGUUAGUGCUGCUUAAAAGGUAUUAUUGGUGAACGAUUUUUCUUUUGACCCUUUAAAAAUAUACUUCUAAAAAUUGUAUCACUAUAAGGCUACUGCAGUGACACACUGGCUAAGGAGUGGUGAGCCUUAAAGGUGACAUAUUAUAUCACUUUUUAGUGUUUUUGCACAUUAAGUUGGGUAUCUGUGGAGUCUACCAGCCCACAAACUGUGAAACAAGACCACCCUGUUGUUGUUUGUGAACUGGCUAAACUCUAUAGCCUGGCUCUGAACAACUGGGUCUAAUCUCUCUCCCACUCUGAUGUCACAUUUGGACUCUUUUGGGGGUAACCCCGCCUACAAUCUGACAUUCUCCACUUCUUUGGUGAAGGGGCGUGACAUUUCCUACGUAUUUGAAAUAUUUUGACCUAUCACAACAGACUGGGCCAGCUGGCCAAUCAGAGCAGAUUGGGGUUUAUCGGGAGGCGGAGCUAAAAGAAAUCGAGGCAUUUCAGACAGAGGGUGAAAACAGGAGCUGCAGGAAGGGGCAGUAUGAGAACUCUAAUGCCUUUUCUAAACAUUAGAGCAUGUAAACCUUUACAAGUGGUAAAGCAAAUUAAAAGUAUGAACCUGAAUAUGAGCAUAAAAUGUCACCUUUAAGCUUGUAUGGACGAACAGAGGAACAAUAUAUAAGACAGAGGAGGGGCUCAAGAAUGUGGCAUAUUUUCUAAUUUGGUUAAAAUGUCCUUGCUAAUUUGACAUUUUUAUGAUUCGUAUAUGAAUUUUUGUAAACAUUUUACAGAAUAGCAUAGAGAUAAUUUUUUAUUUAAAAUGUCAGAUUAAUAAAAUCAGUGCCUUUACCCCUUAUAUUUCAUUAAUUUAAAAUUGUUUUGAAAUGCAGGAAGAAAGAUUUCUGCUGUCUUUUGAAUAUGUUAUAUUCUAUAAAUUUGAUUCCCAAAUGCAGUAUGUAAUGUGAUGUUGCCAGCAUUUGGUGAAAACCUCCCUUUGAAAGUACUGAUUAUUUACACUACUCAUAGUCAUUUACUUGCAAAAACAAAUUGAACAGGAUGUAGAAAUCAGAUUUUUUCUAAAAUUAAGAACUAUUAUUCAUGUGGAUGUGAAGCAUUUGAGAAUGAACACUUUUCAUUCUACUUGGUUUACUUUACUUGAGUGGUAGAAGAAAAUUAAUUUGUGUGUUAAAUUGCAUGAAUAGAUCCUGACAAAUCCUCUCCCACAUUUUUUACAUUAACAACAUUUAACACUGCCUGUUUUGCAGGCGAGAAAUUGAUUUUUUUAAGUUGGAAAGAAGUAGUGACACGUGAAGGUAACACAAACUGAGUAGUAUCUAUGUCAAUAGAGAUUUUUAAAUUUCGGGUUUAAUCAAGUCUUCAGAUUUCUUUUAGAUGCUAAGAGUUUCAGUGCCAAGUGUUUUUGUCAAAGCUGCAUUGGAAAGAAUGUCAAUAAAGAUGUCUCAUCAAUAAAAUAAUAUUCACACGGAAAUGGUUUAAAUGAUUGUUAACUCGACCCUCACAGUGACUGAAAAACAACUUUCAGGUAAGUGGUGUUUCCUGAACUCCACACAAAAUCUAUGAUCCUGUAUCAUUGACCCAUCAUAAUCAACCCAUUGACUGCAGGAGGCUGGAGCCUAUAGCAACUCCCUUUGGGGAAAAGGUACAUCCACUGACAAUUUCAAAUUUGGUAGAAAACAAAGUGUUAUGGAAGCCCAUUUACACAUUUAUACCUGACAGAGACCAAAGCUGUUGAUUUAUAUAGAAAUACUCACAAUUAUCAGACAGUAAAUCAUAUUUUUGACUUACUAUCUCAUAUUUGUGAAAUAGUAACUCAAGCUUUUGACUUCUAAUUCACUGUAACUACUGUCUGAUAAUAUCUUAUAAUUACUCUAUGUUGUAUACAUAGCAUUUUUUAAAAUUGUUUCAUUAAUAUGAUUUAAGAUUUCAGAAGUUUGAAUCAUUAAAAGUCAUUAAUUAGCUAUUAUGACUAAAAUGUCUCAGAGCUUGGAUUUUGGAAAGUUUUUACUUCCUAUUUCACAUUUUUAUAAUGUUCAAAAUGUCAUGAUCACUAUCAUAAAUUUGCUUUUACA